GAUAGAGAGAACUGCCGGCACUCGGUGCGCAGCUUCAUUUCAAAAUGGGCGCUCGCGGAAGUCCCUCGUCAAAGCGGCGCGCAACGCAGGAGGCGCGCCGAGCUAUGAAUC
rnacentral:sRNA from 1 species